rnacentral:rRNA from 1 species
UGAGGAACAUGACCUUCGGCGGGGGAUAGCCGGCCCAACGGCCGGGUAAUACCGCGUACGACCACGUGGGGACAUCCCUGAGUGGUGAAAGCAGCAAUGCGCCGAUGGAGUGCCUCGCGGCCUAUCAGCUAGUUGGUGGGGUAACGGCUCACCAAGGCAACGACGGGUAGCUGGUCUGAGAGGAUGGCCAGCCACAUUGGGACUGAGACACGGCCCAGACUCCUACGGGANACAG